rnacentral:lncRNA from 7 species
CCGCGUCGCCCCCGACCCGACCGGCGGCCAAGCGCAGCUCCCACCCCAAGCCCGCAUCGCCUUUAACCCGACCGCCACGACUCCGCCCGCGACCUGCGGCCAGGCGGCGGCUCCAUCCCCGAGCUCGUGGACGCGUCCGCCUCGGACCGAUGGCUAGGCGGUUGCUUCAACCCCGACGCAGGCAGUUCCCAGUUCGCCACGUACCCAGGCUGCUCCGCCCAAAUCCCGACCCAAGCUCCUUCCCCAAUCCGUCCCUGACCCGAGUACGAGCUUCCGCCCGCUCGUGAGUGCUCCAUGCGCCUGCACCAUCCCACAAGUCACGACAAAUCAAGCUAGCCAGACCACUGAAUUUGUAGGAGCAAGAGGAAUGUGUGGACCAUACUGUCGUUCUUUUGCUUAGGAAGUGCGAUCACGUAGUUGUUUUGUGCUACUCUGUAUACAUCUAUCGUGUGUAUAAAAAACAUGUGUUCUGUGAUAAA